GUCGUUCCUAAUACACAAGGCCACGGUUAAUUAUGUGCCAGCAGCCGCGGUAAUACGUAUUUGCCAAGCGUUAUCCGGAAUUAUUGGGCGUAAAGCGCGCGUAGGCGGUUUCUUAAGUCUGAUGUGAAAGCCCACGGCUCAACCGUGGAGGGUCAUUGGAAACUGGGAGACUUGAGUGCAGAAGAGGAAAGUGGAAUUCCAUGUGUAGCGGUGAAAUGCGC
rnacentral:rRNA from 1 species